CUCCGGGUAGGUCAUCCAGGCCCAGAUCGGGCUGGCUUUCCAAGCCAUCGACGUCCCCCGCGCGAAGUUCCGCUUCGCGCGCGGCC
rnacentral:tRNA from 1 species